rnacentral:rRNA from 1 species
CCCCUAUUGUUAGUUGCCAUCAUUCAGUUGGGCACUCUAAUGAGACUGCCGGUGACAAACCGGAGGAAGGUGGGGAUGACGUCAAGUCCUCAUGGCCCUUAUAGGUGGGGCUACACACGUCAUACAAUGGAUGGUACAAAGGGUCGCCAACCCGCGAGGGGGAGCCAAUCCCAUAAAGACCAUUCGUAGUCCGGAUCGCAGUCUGCAACUCGACUGCGUGAAGUCGGAAUCGCUAGUAAUCGUGGAUCAGAAUGUCACGGUGAAUACGUUCCCGGGUCUU